CAGUUUUUGUUGGAAACAGUUCCACUCAAUCUGACUGCAAUUUGAAUUCCACAAAACAAACUACAUCAAAAUCUUCUGUAGUAACUUCACACGUUCCUGAUGUCGCUUCCAAUCGAGGACUUGUUGGAGCAGACAACUAAGAUUCAAGAUCAGAAGUCACCUGGAAAGACUGCUGCGACAAAAGUGUAUCCUUCUAUUAGGUUUAAA